rnacentral:rRNA from 1 species
CGUGGCGACGAUGCGUAGGGGUUCUGAGAGGAAGGUCCCCCACACUGGUACUGAGACACGGACCAGACUCCUACGGGAGGCAGCAGUGAGGAAUAUUGGUCAAUGGGAGAGAUCCUGAACCAGCCAAGCCGCGUGAGGGAAGACGGCCCUAUGGGUUGUAAACCUCUUUUGUCGGAGAACAAAACCCGGGACGAGUCCCGGACUGCGUGUAUCCGAAGAAAAAGCAUCGGCUAACUCCGUGCCAGCAGCCGCGGUAAUACGGAGGAUGCGAGCGUUAUCCGGAUUUAUUGGGUUUAAAGGGUGCGUAGGCGGUCCGUUAAGUCAGCGGUAAAAUUGCGGGGCUCAACCCCGUCGAGCCGUUGAAACUGGCAGACUUGAGUUGGCGAGAAGUACGCGGAAUGCGCGGUGUAGCGGUGAAAUGCAUAGAUAUCGCGCAGAACUCCGAUUGCGAAGGCAGCGUACCGGCGCCACACUGACGCUGAGGCACGAAAGCGUGGGGAUCGAACAGGAUUAGAUACCCUGGUAGUCCACGCAGU